rnacentral:ncRNA from 1 species
AUAAAAUUUUAUGAUUUGAAUAAUUUAUUUUAAAUUUAUUUUACAUGCAAAUUUUAGUGUUAAUUUUUUAUUAUUUUAAUAAUAAUAAUAAUUUUUGCAGUAAUUAAAAUUAAAAAUUUAAGAAAUUAAGAUUUAGUAAUAUUUAAAUUAAUAACAAAUUUUGUGCCAGCAGUUGCGGUUAUACAAAAAUUAUAAUAAAUUUAAUUAGUUAAUAUUAAAUAAAUUUAAAAUUUUAUUUUAAAUAUUAAAUUAUUAAGUGAAAUUUUAAUUUAAUUAAAAAUAAUUUAUUAUUUAUGAUUUAAUAAAUUUAAAAUAUAAACUAGGAUUAGAUACCCUAUUAUUGUAAAUUUAAAUAUAAUAAUACUAAAAUAUUAGAUAAUUAAUUAUUGAAACUUAAAUAAUUUGGCGGUAUUUUAGUUCAUUUAGAGGAAUCUGUUUAUUAAUUGAUAAUCCACGAAUAAAUUUACUUAAUUUAAUAUUUUGUAUAUCGUUGUUAUAAAAUUAUUUUUAAAUAAAAAUAAUAUUUAAAAAUUUAUAUAAAAAUAUAAUUCAGAUCAAGAUGCAGAUUAUAAUUAAGUAUAUAAUGGAUUACAAUAAAUUUAUUUAAAUGAAUAUUAUUUUGUAAUAAGUAUUUGAAGGUGGAUUUAAAUGUAAUUUUAAUUAAUUUAUUAAAAUGAUUAAAAAUUAAAAUAUGUACAUAUUGCCCGUCGCUUUCAUUUAGAAAUUGGAAUAAGUCGUAACAAAGUAGAGGUACUGGAAAGUGUUUCUAGAAAGA